AUGAACGCUAGCGACAGGCUUAACACAUGCAAGUCGAGGGGCAGCACAGGUAGCAAUACCGGGUGGCGACCGGCGCACGGGUGAGUAACGCGUAUGCAACUUACCUAUCAGAGGGGGAUAACCCGGCGAAAGUCGGACUAAUACCGCAUGAAGCAGGGGCCCCGCAUGGGGAUAUUUGCUAAAGAUUCAUCGCUGAUAGAUAGGCAUGCGUUCCAUUAGGCAGUUGGCGGGGUAACGGCCCACCAAACCGACGAUGGAUAGGGGUUCUGAGAGGAAGGUCCCCCACAUUGGUACUGAGACACGGACCAAACUCCUACGGGAGGCAGCAGUGAGGAAUAUUGGUCAAUGGCCGAGAGGCUGAACCAGCCAAGUCGCGUGAGGGAUGAAGGUUCUAUGGAUCGUAAACCUCUUUUAUAAGGGAAUAAAGUGCGGGACGUGUCCCGUUUUGUAUGUACCUUAUGAAUAAGGAUCGGCUAACUCCGUGCCAGCAGCCGCGGUAAUACGGAGGAUCCGAGCGUUAUCCGGAUUUAUUGGGUUUAAAGGGUGCGUAGGCGGCCUUUUAAGUCAGCGGUGAAAGUCUGUGGCUCAACCAUAGAAUUGCCGUUGAAACUGGGGGGCUUGAGUAUGUUUGAGGCAGGCGGAAUGCGUGGUGUAGCGGUGAAAUGCAUAGAUAUCACGCAGAACCCCGAUUGCGAAGGCAGCCUGCCAAGCCAUGACUGACGCUGAUGCACGAAAGCGUGGGGAUCAAACAGGAUUAGAUACCCUGGUAGUCCACGCAGUAAACGAUGAUCACUAGCUGUUUGCGAUACACUGUAAGCGGCACAGCGAAAGCGUUAAGUGAUCCACCUGGGGAGUACGCCGGCAACGGUGAAACUCAAAGGAAUUGACGGGGGCCCGCACAAGCGGAGGAACAUGUGGUUUAAUUCGAUGAUACGCGAGGAACCUUACCAGGGUUUGAACGCAUUCGGACCGAGGUGGAAACACCUUAUCUAGCAAUAGCCGUUUGCGAGGUGCUGCAUGGUUGUCGUCAGCUCGUGCCGUGAGGUGUCGGCUUAAGUGCCAUAACGAGCGCAACCCUUGCCACUAGUUACUAACAGGUAAAGCUGAGGACUCUGGUGGGACUGCCAGCGUAAGCUGCGAGGAAGGCGGGGAUGACGUCAAAUCAGCACGGCCCUUACAUCCGGGGCGACACACGUGUUACAAUGGCGUGGACAAAGGGAAGCCACCUGGCGACAGGGAGCGAAUCCCCAAACCACGUCUCAGUUCGGAUCGGAGUCUGCAACCCGACUCCGUGAAGCUGGAUUCGCUAGUAAUCGCGCAUCAGCCAUGGCGCGGUGAAUACGUUCCCGGGCCUUGUACACACCGCCCGUCAAGCCAUGGGAGCCGGGGGUACCUGAAGUCCGUAACCGCGAGGAUCGGCCUAGGGUAAAACUGGUGACUGGGGCU
rnacentral:rRNA from 1 species